AAUAGUUUCUUUGGUGAUGACCUACUACAUGGAUAACCGUAGUAAUUCUAGAGCUAAUACAUGCGUAAAUCUCGACUCACGAAGAGACGUAUUUAUUAGAUAAAGACCGACCUCGUUCUGCGGUGAAUCAUAAUAACUUCACGGACCGCAUGGCUUUAUGCCGGCGGUGUUCCAUUCAAAUUUCUGCCCUAUCAACUUUCGACGGUAGGAUAGAGGCCUACCGUGGUGUUCACGGGUGACGGAGAAUUAGGGUUCGAUUCCGGAGAGGGAGCCUGAGAAACGGCUACCACA
rnacentral:rRNA from 1 species